AUACAAUCUUCCCUCUGCCUCCCAGGUUCAAGCGAUUCUCCUGCCUCAGCCUCCCGAGUAGCUGGGAUUACAGGCAUGCGCCACCAUGCCCAGCUAAUUUUUUGUAUUUUUAGUAGAGACGGGGUUUCUCCAUGUUGGUCAGACUGGUCUCACACUCACGACCUCAGGUGAUCCGCCCACCUCGGCCUCCCAAAGUGCUGGGAUUACAGGCGUGAGCCACCAUGCCCGGCAGUUCUGGGCUUUGCAAAGACUAGCUUUGGCUAAUAGGACUGAGGAGAGCUGGCACGUGGGUACCCGCCUCCUCUUCCUCCUCCAGGAACCCAGGGAUCAUCACCGCACGAAUGGGCACACAGAAACUGUUCCAGCCUGUGGACGCCAAAUAUGUGAGGCCACAUAGCUCACUGAGACCCAGGUGAGUGCCGGGGACCGCCCACUGCCCCAUAGAGUGGCAAGAAGUAAUACAAUGCCUGGCAUGGUAUGGUGGCUCAUGCCUGUGAUCCUAGCACUUUGGGAGGCCAAAGUGGGAGGAUUGCUUGAGCCCAGGAGUUUGAGGCCACAGUGAGCUAUCAUGGAGCCACUGCACUCCAGCCUGGGCAACACAGUGAGAUCCUGUCUUAAAAAAACCCACAAAGAACACACAAAAUACAAGGUCUGCUGUUCCAGGCUACUAAGUCAUGGCACAGCCUGUCAUGUAGUAAAAGCUGAU
rnacentral:lncRNA from 1 species